CAGCUAAGGGACUAGGAUCAAAAGUCAGAUCUCAGGUAGCCAAAGGUUAAAAUCAUCAAUGAAGAUUUUAUAGCCAGUCAUUGGAGACAUAGCUCUUUCCAGUAGUUAUCAUUCAUACAUGUACACAUUCGCACAGUUGAAUAUUUGAUAUUGAGUAAUUCCUGGGAAAGACUAAUCCUCCCUCUGUCAAUGGUUGCUAAUUGCAUGGUUUAGAACAAUAGAUUCUCUUCACAGCAUCUAGCCAUAGAUCUCAGUUUAAUAUAUUGCAACCAAAUGAAUUUCUACUUGGUGAUGGCAGGAAUGAAGGCAUAAUCUUUCCUUCAGUAGAAACCAGUGGACUUCAAGCUAAUGAUUUCUAUUACUCUGCCUCUAUUGGGCCAGGCAAGCUCUCACCUACCAGGGGUUUGGAAAGAAGCAUAUGAAGACCCAUCCCCAAACAUGGACGUCUAUGAGUGAGACAGUUCAGCCCAACUACCUGCACCAAAAUUCCAUUUCCUUCUAUAAUUAGUAAUUUUUUACUACCUUAUGGAACUUGUGUUUUCCUCUUUUUUUUUUCUUAUGCUAGGAUAAGUUACUCUUUUAUUUCACUGCCUUACCUUACCCAGGAAACUCUACUCAGCAAUUUAGAUGGAAAACUUAUAGAAACACUUUUCCUUUCGUUAUUACUUUUUACAUUUUUAUAAAAUUAUUUUGUAUUUUUAUUUUGUGUUUAUGAGCUUUUUUGUGUGUGUUUUGCCUACAUGUUUGUUUGUAUACCACAGGUAUGCUUGGUGUGUGCAGAGAGGAGAGGAGGACCCCUAGAACUGGUGUUAAAUGGUAUGGAAAUCCAAAAUGUGGCUACUGUGACUGAAUCAGAGUCCUCCACAGUGCAGCAAGUACUCAUAACAUCUCAGUCAUUUCUGAAGUCUCAAAACACUAUUUUACACAGGUUUAUUUAUUUUUAUUUCAUGUACUUGAGUGAUUGCCUUCUUGUGUGAAUACAAAAUGUGUGCCUGGUGGUCUUAAAUUCCAAAAGGGAUCUCAUGACCUAGAGCUACAGAUGGUUCCAGGACCUCCUGUGUGCACUGAGACUGAUACUCUUCUUUGUACAAAAAGGGGUCAGUGUUCCUAGAUGCCUGGAUAUCUAUCCACCCUGCCAUGCAACACUUUAACACCAAGAGUGCAUACAAAUAAAGUUGUUAGAAUUUUUGUAAAUGACUAUGAAAAUGAAUAAUUGCAAAACAAAAGGACAUGAAGCUCUUAUUCACAUUCCCAGUGAACACCUUAGUGACUCCUCUAUAUUCCAAUGUUUCCAUGAAGAGAAACAUCAUAAACACCUAUAUAUUCAGCAGUCACAGGACAUAAAAAAGUUACACAAAAUCUUUAUCCACAAAAUCUUCAGCAAGGAAACCAUUAUUAGUUAUAGUUCAAUUUCUGAGAGUUUAAGAGCCAUUCCAUGAUGUUCCUGAUUCGUCAGGGGCUUAUUCACAAAAGCUGUACAUGUCACAGUAAAAGUCAAGGCUUAACACUUCUAGGUUCCUGAAUUUGAUAAAGAGUUUCUGACAAAAUGGGCUGACGACACUCAUCAUUCUGUUCUUCUGGUUUAGACCGAAAUGGAGAAACUAUCUAUAUAUUUGAUGACCUUAUACUUAGCCAUUGAUCAGAUCAAUAAGGACUCACAACUGCUUCCCAUUGUGACCUUGGAUUUCCAUGUCUACAACGCCUUUAAUUCUAACAAAAAAAAAAAAAAAAACCCUGGAAGGCCCUCUGAUGUCAAUGUCUGGAAGAACUGAGUAUGUUCCUAACUACGAAUGCAAAACACAACACAAAGCUCUAGGAAUCAUUUCAGGAACCAUGUCAGAAUUUUCUGCUGCAAUUGGAACACUUUUAGAGCUCUAAAACGUCCCACAACGAAUAUUUCCCUAAAGACUGGGGAUGAAAUAAAUGAUGUGAUGACUA